GGCGGUCGGCUCGCCUUUGUCCCUCCCCUCGCGCUCCCUUCCGCUCUCUCCCCGCUCAGCUUAUCUCGCACCCUUCCUCCACGGCCAGCUGUUGUUUUGAAGGCCGUGAGAGUCAAGACCUCCGCCUGGACAAACGCCGCCAUUGUUUGCCAUCUGCUAGAAUUGGCAUGAAACGAUCUCAAGUCAUGCACGAGGUCACAUUGGAGCACAUUGGGAUGGGAAUGAACAUGAUGACGGCAGCAAAGUUACCACUGUCACCAUGGGGAGGACCAAGGGCGCCAUCUUGUGGUGAUUAUGGUAUCGCCCUGAACUGGAUGACUCCCGAGUGAGUCAGUGUUGUUGACGUUGUUAGAAGUGGAAAAACGAAUCUUGGAAAGAAGUCAAGGAAAACCAGAAAAGUGUGAGAA